AACCACACGAUAACGCGUAUCAGAAAGUUGGAGGCGGUUUCUUUUGCGCGUCUCCUACUCUUCGUGGCGGUUUCGCUCUUCGAUCGGUCUUCGGUGAGUGUUCUUUUUCAUCUCGUGAUUUCCCUGGGGAGAAGAAUCAGUGCGGAAUACGGUUCUAGGGCUUUUUUUUUUCGAUACUCGAUUCUUUGGUUCUCGAUAAAUUUUCCCUUUUUCUUGUUGGGCUGUCGAUUUUUAGGGUUAGGGUUAGGGUUUUCCUCCCAAUUCUUGGCCUUUUGAUUACAUGGCGGCUGGAAGAGUCGGUGUUUCCAGGAGGAAUGAUUUUUACAAGUACUCCAAAAAGGAACAUGAUUAUCAUAGAAACCCUAAUCGUGGUGUGGAGUUGAGUCGAGAUCGCGAUCGGGGCGUUACGGGUAGGAAUGGGUUCGAUUCGUUGUCGAGGGUGAGCAGUGAUGUUGGUGGUCGUCGUAAUGUGUUCCGUGUUAGGAUCGGUGAAAAAGAGCUUGGUAAGUUAUCCUCUGGGCGUAAAAUUGGAUCUCAGAUGGUGGAUAGUGAGACUUCUGAGGUUGAUAAUGGGGUUAAGAUGAACUGUGAUAGGAAGAGGAAGUUUUCGCCUAUUGUGUGGAACGCGGAGAAGGAAGUGAGGAUUUCGUCUAAGAAUGGGGUUGUAUCUAUGAGCACUGCGUUGUCUCAUCCUAAAUUGUUGGGUGAAGUUGUUUCAGAUGAGGUUGUUGCGGUGCACAGUGAUGCUGAUCGGAUUCAGUGCUUGCAGUCUUCUAUUAUAGAGUCCCAUGUGGUGAGCGGCUCUGCUGAAACUGCUGUUGUGGAGCCUCCUGCAUGUUUGUCUUCUCUGAUGCCUGGUCAGCGCUGUGGGAGGAGUGGUGAAGAAGUGGAGCAGCUGGAGGAGGAAGUUGUUUGUUCCUGGAAUAUCGCCACAUCUAGGUGGGCAUCUGAAAGUGAUUCUCCAAGAGAAAAAUGUUUCUCUGAUAAUGGAAAUAUGCCGAAGCGAAGUAAAAUGAGUUCUCCUAUGGAUUCACCUUCAAGAACUCUAUUAGAUGGAAAGGCAUCCAGUCCUGAGAGUGGGGAGUUUCAAAGAGAAGACUCAGAAGGAGAUAGGGCUGAAUCUUCUGUAACCGAUGAAGUUGGUAUUUUCAUAGGGCGUGCUGGUGGAGAAGAAUGUUCUGGAAAUGAAUUAGACAACAAUGAUUGUAUGGAAAUCAAUGACGGUGAGGAUGAGACUCGUGUUGAUUAUCAGUCGGGCUUGGAUUCUGAGGAUGGUAAUGAGGUUCAUCUUCCAGUAGAGUCGCUGCCUCCCCCACAAAGGAGUGUAAACAUGCUUCAGGAAUGUAGAAGUGUGUUUGAAUAUGAUAGGCUCAAUAAAAUAAACGAAGGUGCAUAUGGUGUAGUGUAUAGAGCCAGGGACAAAAAAACGGGGGAAAUCGUGGCAUUGAAGAAAAUGAAAAUGAAGAUAGCAGAAACAGAUGGUUUCCCUAUGUCAGCUUUGAGGGAAAUAAACAUUCUCUUGUCUUUUCAUCACCCCUCGAUUGUGGAUGUUAAAGAAGUUGUUAUGGAUGACUUUGGUACUGUUUACAUGGUUAUGGAGUACAUGGAACAUGACCUUAAGCGGCUGAUUGAAUUGAAGAAACGGUCUUUCUCUUUAAGUGAAGUUAAAGGCCUGAUGCUACAGCUGUUGGAGGGUGUCCAGCAUCUUCAUCAUAAUUGGGUGCUACACAGGGAUUUGAAGACAUCAAAUCUUCUUUUGAACGACAAUGGUGAGUUGAAAAUCUGUGACUUUGGGUUGUCUCGCCAGUAUGCAAGCCCAUCUAAACCAUAUACUCAGUUGGUGGUCACUCUAUGGUACAGGGCUCCUGAACUUCUGCUGGGAACAAAACAAUACUCAACGGCAAUUGACAUGUGGUCUGUGGGUUGUAUAAUGGCUGAACUUUUAGCGAAAGAGCCACUAUUCCAAGGGAAAACUGAAUUGGAUCAGCUUGACAAGAUUUUUAAGAUUCUUGGAACACCCAAUAAAACGAUUUGGCCAGGGGUUUCCAAUUUGCCUGGAUUCAAAGCCAACUUUGUCAAGCAACCGUAUAAUCUGUUGAGGAAGAAAUUUCCAGCUACAUCUUUCACUGGAUUUCCAGUUCUCUCUGAUUCAGGGUUUGACCUGUUGAGCAAACUUCUAACCUACGACCCUGAGAAGCGAAUAACCGCAGAAGCUGCAUUGGACCAUGACUGGUUUCAUGAAGUACCCCUUCCCAAAUGUGAAGGUUUCAUGCCUUUUUUCCCUGCUCAACAUGCUCAGGACAGGCAUCUGCAGAGAAUAAUUGACAGCUUGCAUCCUAUAGAAGAGCCAUGAAGCAAGAAUUUCCUGCAAGGGUCGCUGACUCUGGUGGUUUGUUCUUAAGAGAUGGAAAUGGCGGAUGAUCAUCUGUUCAUAUCCUUCACAUAUUAUUUGUUUACAGAUAAGCAAUUUUGAGGUGAGAUACUGACAUUGUGUACCAAGUUGUGAAAACUUUUAUUGAGGAAUUGAUAUUUUGGCAGACACAAAUGCGAUGUGUUGCAGAAAUUAGCAUCAUGUCAGCAAGAUUGAUUUAAGGAUGGUUUUGUCCCUGGCUAUGUAAUUGUUUGAUGGUCCCUUGUGCUUGAAUCUCAAGAAAUUACUGGUAUAAGUCAAUGACAAAGUGGAGGGAGCAUUCUUGGCGUUUCAUACCUGGACAACAGAUAACAUUACAUCUGUAAGUUGUUUUACUGAUAUGAUAUUUGUACCAUGUCAGCAAAUAUCAGGAUUUUGUCUUCAUGAUGGAUUCUUUUCUAUUAUAAUCAAGGUGAUGACCAUAGGUCCAUUCUUCCUGGUUUUCUGCUGAAACAUAUGCAAGUGACGGCACAUCUUGCUGCAUCCUCACAUUGUGGAGUUGCAAGGGAAGUUUUAUCUUUGAAUUAUAUUCACCUGCUUAUUUAUUUAUGUUCACUUGUGAUGCUUCAACUGGUACUUUUCGUGAUUAUUGUCAACAUCUUUUCUAAUCAGUUAAAGAUAGAAUUAAGCAGAUUGACCUAUCAUAAAAAGAUGGUAACAAGUAAAAUCAAAAUGAGAUGCAAUUGCCUCAACCUCACCCUGAACCCCCAAGGAGGAAACCUUUAUAAAUAUGUCAGCAAUUUGAGUGAAUAGACAUGGUGGUGCCAGGAUAACGUUCCAAAUUGACUUGUAUUAGAUUUGAUAUCUUUAAAAAGGUGGUUGGUUGUGUUGCUACUUGUCUCAAAUAGAUGUUUUGUAUUUAUGCGGUUCCACUUUGUUUUAUUUAUUUAGGGGAAAGGCUGUACCAAAACUUUGCCUAUGCAUUCAUAAAUUCAUUUGAUUUUGUCCUGGUUCAUGGGAAUAAUACUUUCAUACCUGUCACAUUCCUGCUUAGGUUAACAUUGCCCGUUGUACAUAGCAUUUUCUAGUUUGGUGUUGGACAGAACUUUGUGAAGGCAAAUGACGGGAGGACUUGUUCUAGCAUUACAGUUGUAAGUUAUUUCAGGUUCAGAAGUCUUACACAACGUUCUUAAAAUUUGUUCAGCAUCUUCUUUUCCGUUUAUUUAUUGGUUUUGGCUGGUGCUGCCUGCCCAUGUAAGGUCCAAGUUCUCAACCAUUCCUUCAUAGUAACAAAAUUAUCAUGCGUUUGAAGCAAUGGAGGUUGGCAAGCACUCGGCUUGCUCAAUGUGAUCACUUGUAAGGUUUCCCCUUUUUAUGCACAUCUUCAAUUGCACUAUUUUCCCCUGGUGCUUAUUAUGCAUUGGAUCUCAAUACUUGGAUUGAAGGUACAAAACCCAUUGCCUGCAUGCUAUAAUUAUCAAAUACUCGAUUAUUUUAUUACUUGAGAUCUCUGUUGAUAUUUUUGCCAUCUAAAAAUUACUAAAUAACCUAAAUCUGUGUCAACUCCCAAAAAAUGAUGACAAAUCAAUACUAGGCAUCAUUCUUUUGGCUAUUAUUGGUUUUUUUUAAUCAUUUUCUAUUUCCCGACAGAAUGCUGUCAAAUAUCCUUUCAUUUCUAUUCCUUUUUAGUAAUAAUUGAAUGAUUUUUGGUUUCUCUGUGUUCAUGUGUCUUGUCUCCACUUAACCUCUGUGAUUGAAUUUAACGAGUACAGAAAAGGGAGUGGAUGAUCUCCGAUUUUACUUUUUCUUCUAACUUCCUGAAUUUGUUAUUAUCUCGGAACUUUGAUAUUCAGCUUGAGGGUGAUGAUGCCAAAAAGAAUAAAGCAGGCCGAAAGAAUGAUAGUGAUGGAUGACGGGGCAUGUAGAAUGUCCCAGUGCGAUUUUGAUAUUAUCUUUUUGUGCAAGUGUUGAAACAAGUACUUGAAAGUUCUACCGAAGGCUGAUCUAAAAUCUAGGAUGUGUUUUAUGAAAUUUUGGUGACAGUUAGGUCCAAAUUAUUAGUUAUCAAAUGGAAAGGGUGUGGCUUUUUAUUUUUA